rnacentral:rRNA from 1 species
UGCGUAGGCGGGCUAAUAAGUCAGUGGUGAAAUCUUCCGGCUCAACCGGGAAACUGCCAUUGAUACUGUUAGCCUUGAGUUAGGUUGAGGUAGGCGGAAUGCGUAAUGUAGCGGUGAAAUGCUUAGAUAUUACACAGAACACCAAUUGCGUAGGCAGCUUACUGGACCUACACUGACGCUGAGGCACGAAAGCGUGGGGAGCGAACAGGAUUAGAUACCCUGGUAGUCC